CCUACGGGUGGCAGCAGUGAGGAAUAUUGGUCAAUGGACGAGAGUCUGAACCAGCCAAGUAGCGUGAAGGAUGACUGCCCUAUGGGUUGUAAACUUCUUUUAUAUGGGAAUAAAACGUUCCACGUGUGGGAUUUUGUAUGUACCAUAUGAAUAAGGAUCGGCUAACUUCGUGCCAGCAGCCGCGGUAAUACGGAGGAUCCGAGCGUUAUCCGGAUUUAUUGGGUUUAAAGGGAGCGUAGGUGGAUUGUUAAGUCAGUUGUGAAAGUUUGCGGCUCAACCGUAAAAUUGCAGUUGAAACUGGCAGUCUUGAGUACAGUAGAGGUGGGCGGAAUUCGUGGUGUAGCGGUGAAAUGCUUAGAUAUCACGAAGAACUCCGAUUGCGAAGGCAGUUCACUGGACUGCAACUGACACUGAGGCUCGAAAGUGUGGGUAUCAAACAGGAUUAGAUACCCCAGUAGUC
rnacentral:rRNA from 1 species